rnacentral:lncRNA from 1 species
CAAACAUUUUCGACCUCAGAAGACACGAUUAUAACUGGCAGUUCAUAGUACAGCGCUAACGCCAACCAAACGUGGCGAACCGAACGGAACUUGGCGAGUUCCGCGCAGCGAACUCCACGCUGGAGUCGGACUAUAAACCAGCCUUUACUUUUGUUAAUAGCAGGACUCGGGUGGCCAGUUGGCUAACCCUGGCCUCCGGAGCCGCCUCUUCUCGGUCGCUGGCUAAACCCGCCAUGCCCGGUCCCUCCCGUAUUUACUGGCACUUCUGGUCGGAAGGUAGCUACCGUUUCCCCCGCGAGGUCCGGCCCCCGUCAACCGGGUACCGGAUAGUUCCCGUCCGCCGGCUCCAUCCUAGGCUCCAUUCCGCGUUAACUUAAGCUGGUAGCUGUAAAAGUUUCCGUAUUUAAUUUUUACAGUAGCCGGAAACUUUGGAUCCGACUUUUAGUCAAAAAUUAAUAUUUGUAUAUAUGAUUUUUAAUUAAUUAAAUAAUUAUCAGCCACCCACGGCAACGGCCGACGGUCUACGGUGAUUGGUGUCCAUUUACGGUGGACGGGGUAGAAAAUAUUGGUGGAAAAGAGGAACCCGAACUUAGCUAAAGCCGCCCGUCCUCCCGUCCUAUUUCCCCACAAAAAUUCUUUCCGAUGGAGGGACCUACGGGAGAAUAGCCACUCCACUUCCGUACAGGCAACAUAGGAAACAAACUAUCUUUUCUAGUUUUAGCGGGACACUGAAGGCUGGGGCUGAGAUAGUCGACCGCCGUCACCUUCACCGUCCACAGGCCCAUCCACGGCCGUUCCGUCGGCCCGGUUCCUGGUCCGGGUGGGUGAUAGCGGUCAGUGAUUAGGCCCGGAGUGAAAAGGAAAAAUCUAUCGUCCCUCUGCAAUGCUCGGUGAAAGGGGAAAAACUUUUAAUACCGAGCAGUGGCGCGGACGGAAAUUUAACCAUUAAAAAAAUAAGAAACACCGAAUGUUGUUUCCAAUAAAUGCCAAAGGCAAACAUUAGGCGUUAUAUGGAUGAUGGUGAGCUCUACCAUAUAAAUAAUAGUUACCCAAGAAAUGAUUAACGAAUGUCAGUAGCGGGGUGGCCGGGCUCACCCGCCCCGGCUAAGCUACCGGCACCGGGGAACCUCUCCACCCGUGUCCAGUUUUCGGGAAGAGGUUAAACACCGGAGACAGGUUAAUGGGGCGGAGAGAAAGCGGAAGACGGGAUGGGAGCCGCAUCGAUCCGUCCAACGGCGCGACUUUCAUAAAUAUGCACAAAUUACGUGUUAAGUAUUUAAAUAAAGAUAAUAGGCUGGGGAAAUUUCAAUUUCGAUACAAUUACGGCGCCAUUAACCGCGAGCGACAGUAGUCCAGCCGCUACCUUAGGCGCACUCCACCGUGCCUACUCGGAGGCCCGACUAUCUUUUCGCCCCCUGCCGUUUAUAAUAUUUAUAAACGGCAUAAUAUUAUUAUCGAUAUUUUGUCUGGUAUCCUCGGUAACGGAAUAUAAAUCGGCCAAAUAACGAAAAAUAAUUGGCCGAAUUCGAAAGGUUUGCCUGAUCGAAUUUUCGUUUUACCCAGCUGGACCGUGUCCAACCCAAACGACCGCUAUUAGUUAGUCACCGAUAAGGACUAUAGUGGGUCGAAUGUAUGGUGCAACCGUAACCAUCCUAUUAUAUCGCGUUUAACGGUAAAAGUCGAGGCCGGCAACUUACUUUCUACGGUUGAGACUGUGGUCGAACCGUAAAGGAAGCGAUUUUCGUUUUGACCGUACUGGUCAUUCCAGCCACGGUUUUCUCUGUUAAAAAGAAUUAAAACUUAUGUAAGAAAUACCACCACCUAACAAAGAUCGAAUCACUCGGUUAUUAUUAACCGCCGUAACCGAGGAGUUGGUGGACUAUAUUUGGUUAAGAUACCGAACGAAAAACCUAAAACCAACUGUUCCGUGCCAUACUUUCGCUCUGGUAGAUGGUUAAGGCCUUAGCAGAAUUAUCGCUUUGACUUUUUUACCACUGUAUUUAUAUUAAUCGCUCUGUAAUCGAAAUUUCCUUUAUUAACGACAAAUAAAUAAUUACAUAUUAUUGUUUAUACAAGAUCUCGGUGGUAUACCGGGUGACGCGAAAAUUUCUUAGCCUGGUUACCAGAGGGCGACACCAUCCGACUGGUUUGGAACGGGGAAAGGCGGUAAAUUAUCCGGGCUGGGUUUGUUGGCCAUACGCGCCUUAUUUACUCCGCAGCCGGAACUUAAGCGCAGCUUACGCGCCGCCUUUUCCAAAAUAGAGAAGUUGGAGAAUCCGGCAGUCAUCGAAUAUCUCCGCCAAAAACUCUUAAUUUCCAGGCUAUUUACACCCCUAGGUUGCCGGAGACCCGGGUGGUGUACAGCCAAUCCCCGCACCGACACACGGGGGUUGGUCCGCUCCAUCCGCGCACGGUGUCAUCAAACAACCGGAAUUGCUGGAGAAAUUCGACUUAAUCGCCGCUACCUCCUCCCGUCCCGGAAGGAUGGAAAACCCAAAGAGAUAAACCACCCCGAAUUACGGCAAUGGUGAGUUCGCUCCGACAGAGGGCGCAUUAUCGCCGGGUAGAAACAUCGGCGGUCGUGCGAAAGGCUCCGACAUCUUCGGUUACUAUUAUCCCUCGACAAAAUAUCCACCAUUCGACGGAGAAAUUUUCCCCGUUAACGAGGGCGCCACACAUCGUUUCGUAUCGGUUGCAGCCUAUGAGCGAUUGGAAGAAAACCGCCGCAGCCGUCACGGGACUCGGGUUACCAAUCGGCUGGGUUGGAUGUCCUCGGCCACGGGCCACAUUGCUCGGAUAACAGUCACCGAGUUUGCUACGUGUUCCGGUGGGAAGCGAACCUCCCACCCGACUUAAGAGAAUCGCCGUCAGACCCGGCUCGAUCACCUCUCGGAUCUACUGUUCCGCCAUUCGUUCCGUCGGCACAGUACACCACUCGGAUUUGGAACUCUUUUGGAAAGCCCGUAACUCACGCGGUGCAUUCGGCCAGCCGAUUCUUAAUCUCGAACUGCGGAGAUUGAUUCGACCGUACCGCCUUCGUCGGUCACGGGGUUACGGAUAAACCGAGCCCGAUUGGCCACGCCUGGUAGGGACACCGGCGUACGUCUACGCGAACGCUAGUCACCUGGGUAAAAUGCCAUCUCACUAAGAACCCAGAGGCUAUCGACGUCUGGGGCCAACUGCCAAGCGGAUACGGGCAUAGAUAUCGAGGAAGGCAAAACAGAUACGCGCCCCGGUCGCGUCCAGGCGUGCCCUCCUUCGGGAGGUACGAUAAUGGCGGACAGAACAUCGAAGAUAAGAGACUAUGGGCUUCCGGUCUGAACGGGUGGGCAACAUUUUACACAGCGAAUUGGACACGGUAAAGAUUUUUGCAAAAUUUUUGAUCAGCGAUGGACAACACGUUGGCGUUCAGACACGAUCCGACUCGCUAGUCCGUUUUCCAGCCAAUCCCGCCAGUUCGGGACGGAUACGUAAUAGCAGACGAAACACGGGUUGAUUUUUUUAUCAGUCCGAGUCCAAAUAAUAACGAAACAGUGGAAGCGUGACGGCUCACCGUCAACAAAGAGUCUGUUUCAUCGGCUGGAAAAGUGGUCUCUUUUUUUGGGAUGGUCGAGGCGUAUCGAAGCUGGAUUUCCCGCCAAACGGCCAAUAUUACGCUAACGGGUCAACCAACUCGGUGAGGAAAUAAAAUACGAAAGGCCUGGGACGCUAACAAACGGUUUCGUGGGAACAACGCUCCACCUCACACUUCCACAGUGGCGAUGGCAAUAAUUUAUACCCCACCCACGGUAUCGGUCGGAUGUAGCGCCAUCGACUUCUAUAUAAUUUUUCGAGAAAAGAUGUAUAAACAUUGGAAUAAUAAUAAAUCCCUGUCUUCCCCAAAAUGACAAACCAGUUGGAUGGAACCAAAUUUUCUCCAACACACCGAGUUAUAAGCGCCACAUAAUAUAAUUUUUUGCAACCAAAAGUAAAUCUGUAAAACUGGCACUAGAAUAUCGAUGGGCUGGAAAGGAGACGAAGUGGAGAAAUGUCGCAGGUUGGAAAAUUUUCAGCCAACUCCGACUAGACCAGGUUAAUAAUUUUUCAACCAGGUAAGGUGGUAAUCGGUAAUCCGGCUGAAAAUGGCCAUAGAUCGCUAUGUAAUUUUUCCAGAAAGGCCGUCUAAAUAUUCGAAUAAUAGUAAAUCCCUCUGAUAUUCAAAAUAUUUAAUAGCCGGCGCGGUGAUUACCUAUUAUAUAUCAUAUUAUAUUAUUAUAUUACUAUUAUAUACGCCGAGUUAAAAAAAUGUGUAAGAAAUGAAAAUACGCCAGACUCGCUUUUUAUUGUGGUCAUCGAGUAAAAUAUAAAUGUAAUAUAUAAUUAUAAAACUGCUAAUCAGUCGAUACACGUCCGAGCCACAAUGUAUUUAUUAUUAGUAGCGUGCCCGUAACAGAACUCUGGCCGGUAGAAACCGACCCCCUCUUUCGAAAAUAAAGCGCCAAUAAGAUUAAACGAGGCCACUGGAAACCUUAUCUGGACAACAAAAGGAGUAGACCUUUUUCCCAUUACUUUUCGACAUAUACAUAAAUAGAACGAUAGCGACGUAUCGCUUUUCGAUAAAUGAAAAAAUUUAUUUCUUUUCUAAUAUAUUUUAUAUGGCCAUACGUUUAGAAUUAAAUGGCG